AGGAAUAUUGGACAAUGGACGCAAGUCUGAUCCAGCCAUGCCGCGUGAAGGAUGAAUGCCCUCUGGGUUGUAAACUUCUUUUAUAGGGGAAGAAAGAUACUUUUUUUAAGGUAGUUGACGGUACCCUAUGAAUAAGCACCGGCUAACUCCGUGCCAGCAGCCGAGGUAAUACGGAGGGUGCAAGCGUUAUCCGGAUUUACUGGGUUUAAAGGGUGCGUAGGCGGGCAUGUAAGUCAGUGGUGAAAUACCGGAGCUUAACUUCGGAACUGCCAUUGNUACUAUAUGUCUUGAAUAUUGUGGAGGUAAGCGGAAUAUGUCAUGUAGCGGUGAAAUGCAUAGAUAUGACAUAGAACACCGAUUGCGG
rnacentral:rRNA from 1 species